rnacentral:rRNA from 1 species
UGGGGAAUAUUGCACAAUGGGGGAAACCCUGAUGCAGCGACGCCGCGUGAGCGAAGAAGGUUUUCGAAUCGUAAAGCUCUGUCCUAGGAGAAGAUAAUGACGGUAUCAUAGGAGGAAGCCCCGGCUAAAUACGUGCCAGCAGCCGCGGUAAUACGUAUGGGGCGAGCGUUGUCCGGAAUUAUUGGGCGUAAAGGGUACGUAGGCGGUCUAUUAAGUCAGGUGUGAAAGCGUGAGGCUUAACCUCAUUAAGCACUUGAAACUGAUAGACUUGAGUGAAGGAGAGGAAAGUGGAAUUCCUAGUGUAGCGGUGAAAUGCGUAGAUAUUAGGAGGAAUACCGGUGGCGAAGGCGACUUUCUGGACUUUUACUGACGCUCAGGUACGAAAGCGUGGGGAGCAAACAGG